CGACCUCUUCAGCUCCUCCUCAAGAUAUAUACAUCUACUCACACACAAACUCAUACUCCCACUCACACACAUACAAGUGAUUUUUAUUUAUUUUUUUCCCCAAUAUCUCCAGCCACCCUCCUGACAGCUUACCUUAUGUGCCAGGAGGGAGGCUUGGAAUCCUGCUGCUGGUAAAAGUGGGAGGUCUGCAGCUCUUCAUGCUCCUCUCCCCUCACGCUGCGGAGGAAGUGACAGGCUGCCAUUUUUCUCCCAGCCGGCAGACAUUACAGGGUUCCAGUUGCGGUCUUAAAGGACCAGGGCUUCCGACCGGGUCCCUGUUCAGCAGUAAUGUUUCCCUGGUGCUAUAAUCAUAGUGUAUGCACGUUUUCGCAGUUUGCUGACCUAUGCAACAGAUUGUUUUAUGGUCAAGUUGUAUAUCCCUUGUACAGCCAAACCAUUUGCUCACUUUUUUUUCCCCCAACUGUUUUACAGAAUAUUGGAAUGAAUUUUGCGGAGUACACAACUUGGUGUUUUUGCAUUUUGGCACUUUACAUAUGAAAAUGAAAAUAUUCAGAUGCCUUGCAGUUGGGUAUGUGAAUGGAUCGAUUGGAAUUGGGUAUUGGAAAGGAUCUAUCAUUUUGAAUUAUGUGAACUCUCAAUAUGACGAGAAUGUACACUGUUUACGUUGGGAUAAAAUCCACAAGCAGCAAACAUAGUUGCCUGGUUAAAACCAGCUACAUGUAUUUCAAAAGAACAUUGUAAGCUGGGUGCUUUUUUGGACCGGCUAGUCUGUCUGUACAGAGUAGGGGGGAGAGCAGUGAGGAAUUUACGGGUAAAUCUACAGGACUGACCAGAGAUCAGGUCCGGAAUGUUAUGAAAUGUAUAAAAAAAAAUUAAUAAUAC